rnacentral:rRNA from 1 species
AAGAGCCUCGGGUUGUAAGCUCUUUGUUCGGGAAGAAACGGUUUGGGUGAAUAUCCCAGACUACUGACGGUACCGGAAGAAUAAGCACCGGCUAACUACGUGC